rnacentral:rRNA from 1 species
GUGGGGAAUCUUGCGCAAUGGGCGAAAGCCUGACGCAGCCAUGCCGCGUGAAUGAUGAAGGUCUUAGGAUUGUAAAAUUCUUUCACCGGGGACGAUAAUGACGGUACCCGGAGAAGAAGCUCCGGCUAACUUCGUGCCAGCAGCCGCGGUAAUACGAAGGGGGCUAGCGUUGCUCGGAAUUACUGGGCGUAAAGGGCGCGUAGGCGGACAGCUUAGUCAGAGGUGAAAGCCCAGGGCUCAACCUUGGAAUUGCCUUUGAUACUGGCUGUCUUGAGUUUGGGAGAGGUGAGUGGAACUCCGAGUGUAGAGGUGAAAUUCGUAGAUAUUCGGAAGAACACCAGUGGCGAAGGCGACUCACUGGCCCAAUACUGACGCUGAGGCGCGAAAGCGUGGGGAGCAAACAGGAUUAGAUACCCAGUAGUCC